GCAUAUCAAUAAGCGGAGGAAAAGAAACCAACAGGGAUUGCCUCAGUAACGGCGAGUGAAGCGGCAAGAGCUCAAAUUUGAAAUCUGGCACCUUUGGUGCCCGAGUUGUAAUUUGGAGAGGAUACUUUGGGCGUGGUCACGGUGUAAGUUCCUUGGAACAGGGCGUCAUAGAGGGUGAGAAUCCCGUCUUGAACCGUCGGCCCACGCCCAUGUGAAGUUCCUUCAACGAGUCGAGUUGUUUGGGAAUGCAGCUCUAAGUGGGUGGUAAAUUUCAUCUAAAGCUAAAUAUUGGCUGGAGACCGAUAGCGAACAAGUAGAGUGAUCGAAAGGUUAAAAGCACCUUGAAAAGGGAGUUAAAUAGCACGUGAAAUUGUUGAAAGGGAAGCGCUUGCAAUCAGACUCGGUCGCGGGGGCUCAGCGGGCAUGCGUGCCUGUGUACUCCCCCGCGUUCGGGCCAGCAUCAGUUCGGGCGACCGGUCAAAGGCCCUUGGAAUGUAUCAUCCUCCGGGAUGCCUUAUAGCCAAGGGUGCAAUGCGGUCAGUCGGGACUGAGGAACGCGCUUCGGCACGGAUGCUGGCGUAAUGGUUGUAAGCGACCCGUCUUGAAACACGGACC
rnacentral:rRNA from 1 species